CCUACGGGAGGCAGCAGUGGGGAAUAUUGCACAAUGGGGGAAACCCUGAUGCAGCGACGCCGCGUGGGUGAAGGAGUAUUUCGGUAUGUAAAGCCCUAUCAGCAGGGAAGAAAAAUGACGUUACCUGACUAAGAGGCCCCGGCUAAAUACGUGCCACCAGCCGCGGUAAUACGUAGGGGGCAGGCGUUAUCCGGAUUUACUGGGUGUAAGGGGAGCGCAGCCGGGGGGUUAAGCCUGGUGUGAAGGCCCGCGGCGCAACCGCGGGACUGCAUUGGGAACUGCCUCGCUGGAGUGCCGGAGGGGUAGGCGGAAUUCCUAGUGUAGCGGUGAAAUGCGUAGAUAUUAGGAGGAACACCAGUGGCGAAGGCGGCCUACUGGACGGUGACUGACGCUGAGGCUCGAAAGCGUGGGGAGCAAACAGGAUUAGAUACCCGAGUAGUC
rnacentral:rRNA from 1 species